GCUUCUCGAUGUUAAACACUCUUCUACCUGGGCUUGUCAGGACAAGGAGGAGCGGCGAGGGAAAGAGGAGCAAAUCGAGGAGAGAAAGUGCGUUGGGGAUGCCAGAGCCGAGGGCUGCGCGCCGUAGGAGGAGGUGGUGGAGAAGGGGGGAGGACGAUGCCGCUGCCUCCUAAGGGAGGAGGGAGGCGCGGGGGCCGCUCCGGAGAAGAGCGGCGGCGGGCAGCGGGCCCCAGGGGCUGGCCAGGAGCGGCAGGCGGCGGCCAGAAGAGAGGAGCGGCGGCGGCAGAGGAAAAGUUUUGGUGCGGGGGGCCAGAGGCGCGGAGGGGGAUUAUGAUCGGUGCCGGCGAGGGAUUCCCAGACACUGUCAGGCAGGCCAGAUCCAGCUGAUAGCUGUUAUAAGGACUUUGCUGACUUCGGAAAGCUGAGCAUCAACAGACUUCAGUGAAAGGAGAUACUAUCACUCCAAGCAACAUGUACACAGACAGCGUUUGGCAGCUUUAAAUUAACUGGUUGCUUACGUAUAAGGACGCGGCUAUUGGUUCUUUUGGCACACAUGGAGGAAAGCAACAAGAUUUGUAACCCUGGCUAAUAGGACUGUGGCUUUCUUAUCAAAAGUAGGAGGUGGGCCAAUUGUAAAAGGAUUAUUUUAUAUUUAGCCUGAAGGACUUUAUCUCUGCUUGAACACUGGACAUAAACUGAAGCCAAUUUUAAUGACCUGAGAUUUUGCUACUAGUCCUUUAUUAUUGUUAUCAGUUCUUUAACAAUUUGAUAC
rnacentral:lncRNA from 1 species